rnacentral:rRNA from 1 species
AGAGUUUGAUCCUGGCUCAGAACGAACGCUGGCGGCGUGCUUAACACAUGCAAGUCGAACGCGAAAGGGACUUCGGUCCUGAGUAAAGUGGCGCACGGGUGAGUAACGCGUGGAUAAUCUACCCAAUGAUCCGGGAUAACAUUUCGAAAGGGGUGCUAAUACCGGAUAAGACCACGGAGUCUCUGGAUUCUGCGGUAAAAGGUGGGGACCUUCGGGCCUACCGUCAUCGGAUGAGUCCGCGUACCAUUAGCUAGUUGGCAGGGUAAUGGCCUACCAAGGCAACGAUGGUUAGCUGGUCUGAGAGGAUGAUCAGCCACACUGGAACUGAGACACGGUCCAGACUCCUACGGGAGGCAGCAGUGGGGAAUUUUGCGCAAUGGGGGAAACCCUGACGCAGCAACGCCGCGUGAGUGAGGAAGGUUUUCGGACCGUAAAGCUCUGUCGAGCGGGAAGAAGUGCAUAAUGGCUAAUAUCCAUUGUGUUUGACGGUACCGCUAAAGGAAGCACCGGCUAACUCCGUGCCAGCAGCCGCGGUAAUACGGAGGGUGCAAGCGUUGUUCGGAAUUAUUGGGCGUAAAGCGCGUGUAGGCGGUCUGUUAAGUCUGAUGUGAAAGCCCUGGGCUCAACCCAGGAAGUGCAUUGGAUACUGGCAGACUUGAAUACGGGAGAGGGCAGUGGAAUUCCUGGUGUAGGAGUGAAAUCCGUAGAUAUCAGGAGGAACACCGGUGGCGAANGCGGCUGCCUGGACCGAUAUUGACGCUGAGACGCGAAAGCGUGGGUAGCAAACAGGAUUAGAUACCCUGGUAGUC